UUUAAACUAGGUUUGAAGGCAGGCGAUCAAAGCCCACAGUGAGUGUUGAAAGAUGAGCAGCCAAGGAGUGGUCAGCCGGAGGGAGAAGAGCGUCAUACAGCCCCCAGAAUAGCAACAACAGUAAAUAUGGUCAUGCUGUUCCUCCACUCAGACCCAGAUCACAUUUACAGCAUGCAUUGGGUCCAUUGGCUACCAGACAUUCAGGAGCUUUGACGAAAUAUUUACAAAUGUAACUGCAGUUAAGAAGACCUUAUUCCAGCAUCAAACAAGCUGACAUCAAGCAAAAGGAGGAGACGUGAUCACGGGCCACAGUGUGCAGGCACCAUACAGUCUAUGGGGAGAAAAAUUUUUAAUCACCAGCUGGUUCAAUGCUCCAAGAUAUGAACUAUGUUCUUGUUCCACUCACAUCUACAUGGGAACUUGCUGUUAUUUGCAGCUGACUCAUGGCCACUGAAGCACACAGGUUUUGCAUAAUGGGAAAGGUGGACUGCAAAAUGAUUCUCUCUCUGUGACUGUCUUAUGUUUUAUAUAAUGCCUAUCACAGUGGUAUCAAGGUGCCUCACUUAAUGAAGGAGCAGAAAAUCCCAGACUGAAAAGGUGUUUAUUUCACUGUUCUCUCAUAUAUUUAAAAAUAUCCCAUGAAGUAAGACAUAAUAUUCUGCAUGAUCAGUGGCACACAUGGUGUAUGAGAAGGGGUGGUCAAGCUAGUUCAGCUGGCUGGGAAAACCCUGUUAACUUCUCAGAUUUAGAAAAAGGGGAUCUUUUUCAAGGAUCCAAAAAUGACCUCUUACUUCUGUAUACAAAACUCUACUCAUCAUUUUCAUGUGAUUUCCCCCAACCUGACUCUGCUGUUAACUUGCAAUUAAUUUCUGUCCUAAUUUCCAUGAUUUGCUUACCCGAGACUAUAAUGUGUAAGUCAAAUUCUGCGCUCAUUUACACACUAUCUAGCUCCUCAGAGCUAUAGGGAAUUGCACGUGGUGAAUCUGGGCAUUAUUUGCCCUAUAGCUCUAUACCUAUCUUGACAAUUUGAAAAGCUGGUUUCAUUCCUUUUGCAGCUUCUCUGCUUUGUUGGUUUCUUCUGCCCACCCACUAUAUCACUUGGAGUGUUACUGAAGUAGGUUUGUUAUUUCAGACACAUACCAACGCCUGCUGCACUCAUUUCUCCCCUACAGUCUUACACAGGGCACAGAGUCAACUUCAUACUUACAUUUGUAUCAGUUACACACACAGGAUCUAAAUUCAUCCCUUCCUCUGUAUAGCCUAAUAUUUUCUGUCCGAUGAUAACUCAAUAUAUACUAAAUAGUAAAUCUGGUUGCUUUUUUACUACAAUUUUCAAUUUGUUUAGGUGGAAACAAUGUAUUUCUCUCCUUAUAGAAACCUUGCUGAGACAAACAUGAUAAAGGAAGUGUGUUUUCAGAGCAGCAGUCCAAUGACGCUAUUUAGUUAAGAAAAAAUCAUGCCAUCAUGUUACAGUCCGUGCCAAAAUAACAUAGACCACUAUUCAGUGCCCAGUAUCCACUGCUGCCCAAAACCUUAUCUUGUCCUAUUUAUACUUUCACAACUGAGGUCUUGUUUAAGAGCUGGUGAAUAUUGUAUUUCCUUUUUUUAAAAAAA